GAUGAACGCUGGCGGCGUGCCUAAUACAUGCAAGUCGAGCGAACAGAUGAGGAGCUUGCUCCUCUGACGUUAGCGGCGGACGGGUGAGUAACACGUGGAUAACCUCCCUAUAAGACUGGGAUAACUUCGGGAAACCGGAGCUAAUACCGUAUAAUAUAUUGCACCGCAUGGUUCGAUAGUGAAAGACGGUUUUGCUGUAUCGUAUAGAUGGAUCCGCGCCGCAUUAGCUGGUUGGUGAGGUAACGGAUUACCAAGGCAACGAUGCGUAGCCGACAGGAGAGGGUGGUCGGCCGCACUGGAAGUGAGACACGCUCCAGACUGCUAGGGGAGGCAGCAGUAGGGAAUCUGCCGCAAGGGGCGAAGACCAGACGGAGCAACGCCGCGUGAGUGAUGAAGGUCUUCGGAUCGUAAAACUCUGUUAUUAGGGAGGAACAAAUGUGUAAGUAACUAUGAACGUCUUGACGGUACCUAAGCAGAAAGCCACGGCUAACUACGUG
rnacentral:rRNA from 1 species